GCACUUCGAGGGGUAACAGAUUUAGCUUGCUACUUGCUUACGACCGUCGCACGGGUGCGUAACGCGUAUAGAAUCUACCUUAUACUGGGGGAUAGCCUUUGGAAACGAAGAUUAAUACCCCAUAGUAUGUUUGAAUGGCAUCAUUUAGGCAUUAAAGUUUCGGCGGUAUAAGAUGACUAUGCGUUCUAUUAGUUUGUUGGUAAGGUAACGGCUUACCAAGACUACGAUAGAUAGGGGUCCUGAGAGGGAGAUC
rnacentral:rRNA from 1 species